rnacentral:misc_RNA from 1 species
GCCAAUUAACAAAAAAUUAAAAUUUACUACAUCUAUUCAAGUCAUUGUUUCUCUUCCCUUCACUCCUAUACACAUACUAAAGAUUUUUUACAAGUGUUUGGGGGCCAAUGCUCCCAUUUUCCCCUUCCCUUUGCCACUGCCAGCACUCUAGAUUUUAUACAAGAAAUUCACAAGGCACAACAGAGGUUUACUAACCUAAUAGUACUUAUUUUCAAAUGCCAAUAAGGCAAAGAAAAAUAAAAGGAUAAAUAAAAGAGAACAACCUCAUUCUUUAGAUGAUCUUCAU